rnacentral:rRNA from 1 species
GACGAACGCUGGCGGCGCGCUUAACACAUGCAAGUCGAACGGAAAGGCCUGCUUUCCCUUGUGGAUUGCGGGUACACGAGUGGCGAACGGGUGAGUAACACGUGAGUGAUCUGCCCCCAACUUGGGUAUAAGCCUGGGAAACUGGGUCUAAUUCCCGAUAGGACUGCAGGGUGGUGCCUGUGGUGGAAAACGAUUUUCUAGUGGUUGGGGAUGAGCUCGCGGCCUAUCAGCUUGUUGGUGGGGUAAUGGCCUACCAAGGCGGCGACGGGUAGCCGGCCUGAGAGGGUGGACGGCCACAUUGGGACUGAGAUACGGCCCAGACUCCUACGGGAGGCAGCAGUGGGGAAUAUUACACAAUGGGCGGAAGCCUGAUGCAGCGACGCCGCGUGGGGGAUGACGGCCUUCGGGUUGUAAACUCCUUUCGACCGCGAGGAAGCCACCUGGUUGGAAGGGUGGUGACGGUAGUGGUAGAAGAAGCACCGGCUAACUACGUG